rnacentral:rRNA from 2 species
GGACUACACGGGUUUCUAAUCCCGUUUGCUCCCCUGGCUUUCGCACCUCAGCGUCAGAAAUCAACCAGUGCACCGCUUUCGCCGCCGGAGUUCCUCCCGAUAUCAACGCAUUUCACCGCUCCACCGGGAAUUCCAUGCACCCCUUUGAUCCUCAAGCAACGCAGUACUGGGCGCAGUUCCUCGGUUAGGCCGAGGGAUUUCACACCCAACUUACGCCGCCGCCUACGUGCGCUUUAUGCCCAGUGAUUCCGAACAACGCUCGCCACCUUCGUCUUACCGCGGCUGCUGGCAC